CCUACGGGCGGCAGCAGUGAGGAAUAUUGGUCAAUGGACGAGAGUCUGAACCAGCCAAGUAGCGUGAAGGAUGACUGCCCUAUGGGUUGUAAACUUCUUUUAUAUGGGAAUAAUAUGUUGCACGUGUGGGAUUUUGUAUGUACCCUAUGAAUAAGGAUCGGCUAACUCCGUGCCAGCAGCCGCGGUAAUACGGAGGAUCCGAGCGUUAUCCGGAUUUCUUGGGUUUAAAGGGAGCGUUGGUGGGUUGUUAAGUCAGUUGUGAAAGUUUGCGGCUCAACCGUAAAAUUGCAGUUGGAACUGGCAGUCUUGAGUGCAGGAGAGGUAGGCGGAAUUCGUGGUGUAGCGGUGAAAUGCUUAGAUAUCACGAAGAACUCCGAUUGCGAAGGCAGCUCACUGGACUGCAACUGACGCUGAGGCUCGAAAGUGUGGGUAUCGAACAGGAUUAGAUACCCCGGUAGUC
rnacentral:rRNA from 1 species